rnacentral:rRNA from 1 species
GACCUCAAAUCAGGUAGGAACACCCGCUGAACUUAAGCAUAUCAAUAAGCGGAGGAAAAGAAAAUAACAAUGAUUCCCCUAGUAACUGCGAGUGAAGAGGGACAAGCUCAAAUUUUAAAUCUAUCGGGUUUUACCUGAUCGAGUUGUAAUUUGAAGAAGCGUUUUCUGCGUAUUUGGUCAGCCUAAGUCCUAUUGAAUGAGGCAUCAUGGAGGGUGAUAAUCCCGUCCGGUUGAUCAUUUGCGUUUUACGAUACGCUUUCUAAGAGUCAAGUUGUUUGGGAUUGCAGCUUAAAAUGGGAGGUAAAUUUCUCCUAAGGCUAAAUAACGGCGAGAGACCGAUAGCGAACAAGUACCGUGAGGGAAAGAUGAAAAGAACUUUGAAAAGAGAGUUAAACAGUACGUGAAAUUGUUGAAAGGGAAACGAUUGAAGCCAGUCGUACCUUCGGGUAAUCAGCCUUUCGGGUGCGAUUCUGUGGAGUGUGAGGAGCUUAAACACCUUCAUGUUUUGCAUAUUCGUACUCUUGGGUGUACUUGCCCGUGUGGUUGGUUAACAUCAAUUUUGGUGGUCAUAAAAUGACUGGAGGAAUGUAGCUUCGAUCUUGUAUUGAAGUGUUAUAGCCUUCGGUAGAUGUGAUGAUCGAGAUUGAGGAUUGCAACGGAUACCCUUCGGGGCUACCUGUCUGGUCUCUGAUCGUUGCUCUGGUGCCGAAAGCUUGCUUACGGUUAUCAAAGUCGAUGGUCAAUAGGUUAGAAUGGGUUAAAUUCGUUAAGGAUGUUGACGUAAUGGCUUUAAACGACCCGUCUUGAAACACGGACCAAGGAGUCUAACAUAUAUGCGAGUGUUC